rnacentral:rRNA from 1 species
UAGGUCCUACGGGGGGCAGCAGUGAGGAAUAUUGGUCAAUGGGCUUACGCCUGAACCAGCCAAGUCGCGUGAGGGAAGACUGUCUUAUGGGUUGUAAACCUCUUUUGUCAGGGAGCAGUUGGCACUACGUGUAGCGUUAUCGAGAGUACCUGAAGAAAAAGCAUCGGCUAACUCCGUGCCAGCAGCCGCGGUAAUACGGAGGAUGCGAGCGCUAUCCGGAUUUAUUGGGUUUAAAGGGUGCGUAGGCGGAAUGCCAAGUCAGC